rnacentral:rRNA from 1 species
CUUGGAAGCAGCCAUUCAUUUAAAGAGUGCGUAACAGCUCACUAGUCGAGCGGUUUGGCGUGGAUAAUAAUCGGGCAUAAGCUAUUUACCGAAGCUGUGGAAUAUAUAAUAUUGGUAGGGGGGCAUUCCAUAUUCGUCGAAGAUAAAGGGUUACCUUUAUUGGAGGGUAUGGAAAAGCAAAUGUAGGUAUAAGUAACGAUAAGGAGGGCGCGAACCCCUCCCGCCGGAAGACUGAGGGUUCCUGAACAACGUUAAUCGGUUCAGGGUUAGUCGGGACCUAAGGAGAAGCCGAAAGGCGCAUCUGAUGGAAGAACAGGUUAAUAAUCCUGUACUGGCGUAUGGAGCGAAGUGGGGACGGAGAAGUGAAAGUCCUGCGUACUGACGGAAUAGUACGUUGAAGGGUGUAGGUUUAGAUAUUCGUAGGCAAAUCCGCGAAUAGAGCCGAACCUGAAAGUACCGAGCGUUUUCGGACAAUCGGAUAUGGAUGUAAUCAGACUCCCUAGAAAAACCGCUAAGCAUAUUCAUACGGCACCCGUACCAUAAACGGACACACGUGGUCAAGUAUAGAGUAUUAAGGCGCUCGAGUGAUCCGCGGCUAAGGAACUAGGCAAAAUAGUCCUGUAACUUCGGAAAAAGGGACACCUACCCAGUGAUGGGAGGUCGCAGAAGAAUGGCCCAGGCGACUGUUUAACAAAAACAUAGGGCUUUGCCAAAUCGCAAGAUGAAGUAUAAGGCCUGACACCUGCCCGGUGCUGGAAGGUUAAGAGGAGAUGUCAUCGCAAGAGAAGCAUUGAAUUGAAGCCCCAGUAAACGGCGGCCGUAACUAUAACGGUCCUAAGGUAGCGAAAUUCCUUGUCGGGUAAGUUCCGACCUGCACGAAUGGUGUAACGAUCUGGGUACUGUCUCAACCGCGAGCUCGGUGAAAUUGUAGUAUCGGUGAAGAUGCCGAUUACCCGCAACGGGACGAAAAGACCCCGUGAACCUUUACUGCAACUUAACAUUGAAUUUGGGUAAUUGAUGUGUAGGAUAGGCCGGAGGCUAUGAAGCAGGUACGCCAGUAUUUGUGGAGCCGUUGUUGAAAUACGGUCCUUCAGUUAUUUGAGUUCUAACCCGUGGAUAUGGGGACACUGUUUGGUGGGUAGUUUGACUGGGGUGGUCGCCUCCAAAAGAGUAACGGAGGCUUCCAAAGGUACCCUCAGGCCGAUUGGUAACCGGUCGCAGAGUGUAAUGGUAUAAGGGUGCUUGACUGCGAGACAAACAAGUCGAACAGGUAGGAAACUAGGGCAUAGUGAUCCGGUGGUUCCGCAUGGAAGGGCCAUCGCUCAAAGGAUAAAAGGUACUCCGGGGAUAACAGGCUGAUC